rnacentral:rRNA from 1 species
UACGAAGGGGGGCUAGCGUUGUUCGGAUUUACUGGGCGUAAAGCGCACGUAGGCGGAUCUUUAAGUCAGAGGUGAAAUCCCAAGGCUCAACCUUGGAACUGCCUUUGAUACUGGGGAUCUUGAGUCCGGGAGAGGUGAGUGGAACUGCGAGUGUAGAGGUGGAAUUCGUAGAUAUUAGGAAGAACACCAGUGGCGAAGGCGGCUCACUGGUCCGGUACUGACGCUGAGGUGCGAAAGCGUGGGGGAGCAAACAGG